GAGGAGCUCGCGGGCUUUCCGGCGGGCUGGCCUGAAGUGGAAGGGCCCAGGGCUGCCUGCCACCCUCAGAUGCCACGCAGGUGUUGGGAGGGCACCCGUCUGUGGGCUCAGGGACGUGUUCCCACCGACAGGCACAGAACGGAAAGCACCUUGGGGGAGACGCCCUUCUCCCCAUCUCAGGAGGGAGGCCGGGCCUGCAGACCUCCAGCCCUUCCCCAGCGCUCGCUGUGAGCUCCCCCCCCCCACCCGCCCCCCACGUGCUGGGGAGCAGGUCCGUUUCCCCACCAGUUUGCCUCUGGUCUUUGUGUUUGCUCUGAGGCCAGGCGCGCCCCCUGCUGCAGGCCUGGGCUCCUGUGUGGAGUUCUCCUUUCAGAUGUUGCUAAAAUGUCUUGAAAGGCUGCGGCCACACCAACAGACGUCGUCCGGCCUUCUUCACACGCAACGAAGCGCCCAGGUGGAAAUGCAUGUACCCGCGGCAGCUUCUCGGCAGCGGGCUUCCUGGGACGGAAGACACAGGCUCGCCCGAGGGAGACGGAAGCAGGGGAUCUGCUAGAACUCAGCUCGCCUCCUCCUUUCUCAGCAGGGCAGAGAAUCAUGGGCUUGUGCUGACGAAAGCUCCAGAAAAUGGACUCAUUUAACCUUUCCAAAGAUAUUAUCCAAGCUGCAAAAUCUUGGCAAUCUGAAGACCUUUUAAGUCGAUAUACCAAAGAGCUUUAGUCAGGAUUGAAUGCAAAAUGCCAAAAUUUCACUUUUAAAAUCAUCGUAACAUCUAAAUACAACCUAAGCACACUUGUAAACUGAUGCCGAACAGGCACUUGGAGAGCCCUCCCUGCACCCCUUCCUCGCCCCCUCCUUUGUGCAAAUGCUGUUUGCCCAGAACUUCAGCCACUGAAAAUCCUGGGAACUUUCUCUUCCUGGCUGCCAACCUAGCAGUUUGGACUCACAGACGAGAUUUUUAAAUCACUGAGGGAUUUAAGCCUCUCUGUGUCACAGAAAAGCGAACACCCUCCCAGUUGAAGGUGGCCCCAAAGAUGCGGGCCUGGGACCCAGGACUUCUGCAGGAGAGUGGACGCCUGGGUGCCCCCCGCCUUGCCCUGCACAUGGUAGGUGCUCAAUAAUUACACAAUAAAUAUUCACACAAAGCAGUGAUUCUGCCGAAGAGAUCCACUGCAAUGCACCUGGCUUCCUAGAAGCAAUAAAUGAAAAGCUUUUCUAUUUUUUUAAGAAAAGAAAAGAUUAAUGAAGCCCUGACGUAGAGGCAGAGAGCUCAACAGAAUCCAGUGACUCAAGGCGUGCGCAGAAGCAAUUUGCUUCUGAAACUCUAAACACCGUUCUUUAGUACUUCCUGACACUCCUCAGCAGCAAGCAAAUAAAUAUUUACAUGUGGAAGGAGACUGUCCUUUGAAAUGUAGGUUGUUCCAUUCAGAAGAGAAAUACGGCAAGGUGCCACUACUUUAGUGGCAACACGCGUUAUUAUUUAUGUUUUCCAGUUUGAAAAUCGUGCACUUUCUAUCAGGACCCUUAAAUGGUAAACACUGAUUCCCACGUGAAGCGAAUUAGUCCAGCAGCCACCCCCCCCUUGGUGGUUCAGGGACAACAGCAUAAGCUUUGACAAAUCACCCUUUGUUUUAUGCUUUGAUUACCUGGUGAGCUAAAAACAAUGAUAGUAAAAGCCUGGACCUGCCAUGUAUUCAGUCUGCAUUUGUUACUCUCCCCUUUCUUCCAUUUAUGAGUUUGUUCCCAAAAGAUUUUUUUAAAAAAAUUCUGACUUGAGUAACUUUUCCUCUGAUCUGAUCUGUUGUCAAAUUAGUGGGUGGCAGGAGAAAGCCAGUCACAUGAUAUCAUCGUUUCCUAUUCAAACAGACGGCUUUUUUUUUUUCAGUAAAAAUACUCGACUGCAAGACUAUGAGUGUGCAGAUAAUUCUGCUGCUUACUCCGAUUGGAGGUGUCUCCAGGGAGUUUCCAAGCACAGGAAGCAUUCCUGCUCUGAGGUUUCGGAAGAACACUUUCAGCAGGAUUUUGGGUCACUGAAAUGAAAGUGAACUAUGCUCUGUACAAAUGUAUCAUGUUUAAUUCAGGAGAAAUUCAUGCAUUUCUUUGUUCUAUAAAUAUUUACUGGCAGCUCGUUUUGUAUAGGAGGCUGCCACCUCCCAAAAGCCCCCUGCUCCUCGAGUGGGUUGAGCCUGAAACCCCACAUCCACAGACGUGCCCAGCGGCCUUGGGUGCUCAACACAGGCUCGUUCAGAAUAACAGAGUACACCAGUCAUCAUAAGAAGAAAAAUUCACAUUUAAAGUUUGGAAAGCAACAGGACAAAGGUCUGUCUUCAGUGGUGCGUAGACAUGCUCGUGAUUGAAUUGGAAAUAGUUCUCUUUCCUUCUCUCUGACUUCCUAACUGAAAAGCUGCAGCGUGGGGAGAAAGGCUGCUCAGAAGCCUGGAGCCAGAACACGCACCCCGGCUUUUGCAGGGCCGGCUCACUUGGUUAGAAUCAAAGGAAAAGCCUUGUUAUUUGGGAAGCUGGGCGUCCUCACCAAAUUAGGGGAUUUAAUUUGCAGAUAUCUAAGGAGUGCUUUGAAAUGAAAGAUGAACUAAAAUCUGCUCUGAGGCCCGUGAUUUUUCACCAGUGAAGGACUCUCUUGCUGCUGGACAUACAUGAAAAGCAUCAUCUGAUCUGAAACGCAAGUCCCUGCAAGACAGAGGAGAGACUUUAUAAACAUUUUAUACCAUUCUAUGAAAUCAAUUCGAUUCAGGGCUAGAAUUCAAGAAGUAAUCCAUGGGCAAGUAUAUCUGAUGGUAAACCCAAACGAUUAUAUUGUUAACCUCUUGUACUUUUUUUAAUUUUUUAUUAUUUGAUAUUAUUAUCACAAAAGUCGCUGGAACAGGAUCCAUGAGCUGCUUCUUCACUGCUUAGUGUUUUCAGAAGCUGAUGGAUUAUUAAGCUCCAAUUGAAUACUUGAUUUCCAAUGAUUCCAUUAAUUUUUCUGGUUUGUGGUAGGAUUUGAUUUACUUAUUUUGUACUUUAACACACCAAUAAAAAAUAGAUACUAAGAAAUAGUGAAAUUUGUUGCUUCAAAAUAACCCUUAAAAUUUAGAGUUUAGUGAAAUUAAGCAAUUCAAAUAGAGAAACGAUUAUCCUUCAUUUCCUUAAGGCACAGAAAUUGAGACUAGGUUCAAGAACCUUCAUAUUUUAAAAACUGGAAAAUACUGGCUAAGUGAGGACUGGGCGGUCAUCCUCCACACAUGCUCUGUGUGCUUGGAGCGAAG
rnacentral:lncRNA from 1 species